GGUCUGAUGGUCUAGUGGUAGGAUUCUCGCUUUGGGUUGGGCUUUCUCAGUCGUAAAUGCGAGAGGUCCCGGGUUCGAUCCCCGGUCAGACCC